ensembl:lncRNA
UUUAUAUUUGGAUUUGUGUAUGUCUCAAACAUUUUGUUACCUGUGAACUGCCUGAAUAUUAAAAAUAAAACACAAUCUAUCUAAAAAUCUGCACUUUAAAUGUGUUGUCAUUAUUUAGAAUUGCUGUAAAUGUGUAAGGGAAAUUCCCAACAUUAAACGUUCUAGAUUUGCAGGAAUCCUAAAAGAGUCCUACACUGAAAUCCAAGUCCUGAUACUAGAAAAAAAAAAAAAGUCAUAAGAUGUUUUCCAUAUAUGGAUGUUAUUUUAGGAAGUGAUGUUCUAUACAAUUAGAUCAAACAGCAGGUUGUGGUUACCACAAUGUCAUCAUCUAUCUCCUCCCCUCUACCUUGAUCCCACAUUAUCUGUUCAGUCAUUCAGUCAUUGCACAAACAAAAGAAAAUACAGACACUAUGAUCGGAAACCUGAACACAAUUCUACUUAUCUGGCUCUCCUGUGGUUCACUUGGCAUUGAAGUCCAUCAGGAUCCAUCAUCAAUAAUAGGAAAACCUCAUAAUUCUGCAACAAUCAGCUGCCGUCAUUCAGACAGUUCAUACUAUGUAAUACUGUGGUACCAACAGCCAGUUGGUGACUCUGCUCUUAAACUCAUUGGAUAUAUUCAGUACACUAACCCAACCCCAGAGGAUCAAUUUAAACAGCAUUUCAAUGUGACUGGAGACGGCUCAUCAGAAUCUCAACUUCAUGUGCUGAAGCUCAGACAGCCACAAGAUAGUGGCAUGUAUUAUUGUGCAGCUAGUAGGCACAGUGACUCACUUAGCAAUUCACCUCUACAAAAACCUUCUGAUAUUCCACCACAUAAAUUUACAAUGAAGACUACACCUGCAUCCAGCUAUCACCCAUCCAUGUGA